rnacentral:rRNA from 1 species
GACGAACGCUGGCGGCGUGCUUAACACAUGCAAGUCGAACGCUGAAGCUCAGCUUUUGUUGGGUGGAUGAGUGGCGAACGGGUGAGUAACACGUGAGUAACCUGCCCCCUUCUUUGGGAUAACGCCCGGAAACGGGUGCUAAUACUGGAUAUUCACUGGUCUUCGCAUGGGGGUUGGUGGAAAGGGUUUUUCUGGUGGGGGAUGGGCUCGCGGCCUAUCAGCUUGUUGGUGGGGUGAUGGCCUACCAAGGCUUUGACGGGUAGCCGGCCUGAGAGGGUGACCGGUCACAUUGGGACUGAGAUACGGCCCAGACUCCUACGGGAGGCAGCAGUGGGGAAGAUUGCACAAUGGGCGCAAGCCUGAUGCAGCGACGCCGCGUGAGGGAUGGAGGCCUUCGGGUUGUGAAACUCUUUCGCUCAUGGUCAAGCCGCAACAAUGGUUGUGGUGAGGGUAGUGGGUAAAGAAGCGCCGGCUAACUACGUG